rnacentral:rRNA from 1 species
AACGAACGCUGGCGGCAUGCCUAACACAUGCAAGUCGAACGAGAUCUUCGGGUCGAGUGGCGCACGGGUGCGUAACGCGUGGGAAUCUGCCCUUUGGUUCGGAAUAACAGUUGGAAACGACUGCUAAUACCGGAUGAUGACGAAAGUCCAAAGAUUUAUCGACAGAGGAUGAGCCCGCGUAGGAUUAGCUAGUUGGUGUGGUAAAGGCGCACCAAGGCGACGAUCCUUAGCUGGUCUGAGAGGAUGAUCAGCCACACUGAGACUGAGACACGGCCCAGACUUCUACGGGAGGCAGCAGUGGGGAAUAUUGGACAAUGGGCGAAAGCCUGAUCCAGCAAUGCCGCGUGAGUGAUGAAGGCCUUAGGGUUGUAAAGCUCUUUUACCCGGGCUGAUAAUGACAGUACCGGGAGAAUAAGCUCCGGCUAACUCCGUGCCAGCCGCCGCCGUAA